rnacentral:rRNA from 1 species
UGGGGAAUAUUGGACAAUGGGGGCAACCCUGAUCCAGCCAUGCCGCGUGUGUGAAGAAGGCCUUUUGGUUGUAAAGCACUUUUAAGCAGGGAGGAGAGGCUAAUGGUUAAUACCCAUUAGAUUAGACGUUACCUGCAGAAUAAGCACCGGCUAACUCUGUGCCAGCAGCCGCGGUAAUACAGAGGGUGCGAGCGUUAAUCGGAAUUACUGGGCGUAAAGCGAGUGUAGGUGGCUCAUUAAGUCACAUGUGAAAUCCCCGGGCUUAACCUGGGAACUGCAUGUGAUACUGGUGGUGCUAGAAUAUGUGAGAGGGAAGUAGAAUUCCAGGUGUAGCGGUGAAAUGCGUAGAGAUCUGGAGGAAUACCGAUGGCGAAGGCAGCUUCCUGGCAUAAUAUUGACACUGAGAUUCGAAAGCGUGGGUAGCAAACAGGAUUAGAUACCCUGGUAGUCCACGCCGUAAACGAUGUCUACUAGCCGUUGGGGUCCUUGAGACUUUAGUGGCGCAGUUAACGCGAUAAGU